GAUUAACGCUGGCGGCAUGCCUAAUACAUGCAAGUCGAACGGAAGCAGCAAUGCUUUAGUGGCGAACGGGUGAGUAACACGUAGGGAACCUACCUAUACGACGAGGAUAACUACUGGAAACGGUAGCUAAAACUGGAUAGGAUCAAUUGAGGCAUCUUGAUUGAUUUAAAGAUCCUUCGGGAUUACGUAGAGAUGGCCCUGCGGCGCAUUAGCUAGUUGGUGAGGUAACGGCCACCAAGGCGACGAUGCGUAGCUGAGCUGAGAGGCUAAACAGCCACACUGGGACUGAGACACGGCCCAGACUCCUACGGGAGGCAGCAGUAGGGAAUUUUCGGCAAUGGGGGAAACCCUGACCGAGCAAUGCCGCGUGAACGAUGAAGGUCUUCGGAUUGUAAAGUUCUGUGAUUGGGGAAGAAUGGUAUUCUUAGGGAAUGAGGAGUACAUGACGGUACCCGAUUAGAAAGCCCCGGCUAACUAUGUGCCAGCAG
rnacentral:rRNA from 1 species